rnacentral:rRNA from 1 species
UACGUAGGGUGCGAGCGUUAAUCGGAAUUACUGGGCGUAAAGCGUGCGUAGGCGGUUUUGUAAGUCAGAUGUGAAAUCCCCGGGCUUAACCUGGGAAUGGCAUUUGGGACUGCAAGGCUUGAGUGCGGCAGAGGAGACUAGAAUUCCUGGUGUAGCAGUGAAAUGCGUAGAUAUCAGGAGGAAUACCGAUGGCGAAGGCAGGUCUCUGGGCUGACACUGACGCUCAUGCACGAAAGCGUGGGGAGCAAACAGG